UCAGAGGGGGGUAGAAUNCCACGUGUAGCAGUGAAAUGCGUAGAGAUGUGGAGGAAUACCGAUGGCGAAGGCAGCCCCCUGGGAUAAUACUGACGUUCAUGCUNGAAAGCGUGGGUAGCAAACAGGAUUAGAUACCCUGGUAGUCCACGCCCUAAACGAUGUCAAUUAGCUGUUGGGGCACUUGAUGCCUUAGUAGCGAAGCUAACGCGUGAAAUUGACCGCCUGGGGAGUACGGUCGCAAGAUUAAAACUCAAAGGAAUUGACGGGGACCCGCACAAGCGGUGGAUGAUGUGGAUUAAUUCGAUGCAACGCGAAGAACCUUACCUGGUCUUGACAUGUACGGAAUCUUCCAGAGACGGAAGAGUGCCUUCGGGAGCCGUAACACAGGUGCUGCAUGGCUGUCGUCAGCUCGUGUCGUGAGAUGUUGGGUUAAGUCCCGCAACGAGCGCAACCCUUGUCAUUAGUUGCCACCAUUCAGUUGGGCACUCUAAUGAGACUGCCGGUGACAAACCGGAGGAAGGUGGGGAUGACGUCAAGUCCUCAUGGCCCUUAUGACCAGGGCUUCACACGUCAUACAAUGGUCGGUACAGAGGGUAGCCAAGCCGCGAGGUGGAGCCAAUCUCAGAAAACCGAUCGUAGUCCGGAUUGCACUCUGCAACUCGAGUGCAUGAAGUCGGAAUCGCUAGUAAUCGCAGGUCAGCAUACUGCGGUGAAUACGUUCCCGGGUCUUGUACACACCGCCCGUCACACCAUGGGAGUGGGGGAUACCAGAAGUAGGUA
rnacentral:rRNA from 1 species